rnacentral:lncRNA from 1 species
UGUGCACAUUCUGAUACUGAGCUCAGCAGAGGUACAAGAGAAAUAUACCGCCACGGCUUCCUUCAAAGAGCUCGCCGCAUGGCUGGGAAGCAGUAGCAGGGAGGCUUCGCUCAGUGCAGACGGCUCGAUGGGUCUUUUCAAUAUUCUGUCACAAGAUCACCAGUGAAUCUCUGCGGAACAAAAGAUUUCCUUCGCUUCUCGUCUCAGUGCAAGCCUUGACCACACACAUGUAAGCUUCGUUUCACUCAGCGGUUUCCAAGCUGACAAUGUCCCAGGCGAGGCCGGGUUUCAGCAGACGCAUCCCUGCAUCCUCCACCAGCACUGUUUGUUCUGAAAUCAUCUUGUUCAUGGGGAUUCUGGGGAAAACCUUACUCAGCCCCCUUUCUCCUCCCUGUGGUGUCAGCAUUCCCAUCCUGGCUGCAUAUUCAACUCACCUGGGGAGACUAAAAAACACCCCAAUACACAGGAUCUGCUGAAACACCCCAAUACACAGGAUCUACCCAAACACCCCAAUACACAGGACCCCCCAAAACACCCCAAUACACAGGACCCCCCAAAACACCCCAAUACACAGGACCCGCCCAAACACCCCAAUACACAGGACCCGCCGAAACACCCCAAUACACAGGACCCGCCGAAACACCCCAAUACACAGGACCCGCCGAAACACCCCAAUACACAGGACCCCUCAAAACACCCCAAUACACAGGACCCGCCCGAGCACCCCAAUACACAGGACCCGCCCGAGCACCCCAAUACACAGGACCCACCAAACACCCCAAUACACAGAACCCCCCGAAACACCCCAAUACACAGGAUCCCCCGAAACACCCCAAUACACAGGAUCCCCCGAAACACCCCAAUACACAGGAUCCCCCAAAACACCCCAAUACACAGGAUCCCCCGAAACACCCCAAUACACAGGACCCACUGAAACGCCCCAAUACACAGGAUCCCCCAAAACACCCCAAUACACAGGAUCCCCCGAAACACCCCAAUACACAGGACCCACUGAAACGCCCCAAUACACAGGAUCCCCCGAGAUCCUGAUUUAGUGUCAGAGAACCUGCUUCCUGGGUGAUCCCAGUGUGAAGGCCUGGGCGGAAACCCAUUUCAGGUUCCCACGCCAGCAGAUGCCGAGUGACCACGCCUGGGCGGGCAGGGCUUUCGGUUCUUCCCAGCUGUGUGACCUUGGCAGGGCCCUGCAGCUCUCUGAGCCUUGGGUUCGCCCAUGUGUGCUGGGAUAGUGUCCCUGCCUUCCGUGUCUCUCAGGAGUAUUGAGAACAUCAAGUGAAUUCCAGCAUGGGGCCAGUGCAGGCCAGCAACCAAGAGCGCCCUGCUCCUUCAAGGCAGAGCCUGGAGCCAGGCCACAGAGGCCGGAAGACGCUGGAAGUGCGGCGGGAGCCGGUCCCAUCUGCCCUCCGCACUCUGCCCAGGCUUCUGCCACCGAGCACUGCCUGGACCUGGUGGGGCAUGACUGGGACCCAGGAAGGGUCUGCGACGUCAGUGACAUAAAGCCCAAUAGGACAGAAAAAGGAAGCACUUCUCUCAUUGGAAGUGUUACCUAGAUGUGGGAAUGACAGUGCAGUCAUUGUGAAUGGAGGUCCUGGGGCCGAACCGCCCAGGUGAGAAUCCAGCCUCUACCAGGAGAAGCUGCUGAAGUCUCAUUUCUUCACCUGUACAAUGGGCAGAGUUGCUUUGAGGAUUAAAUGAGAUAAUCCAUACAAGGUGACACCAUGGAAGGUCAGAGAGGUUAGGGAUCUAAUUGCCCAAGGGGCAAUGCCAGCAAGUGGAAACAGAGCCAGAACCUGAACCCACGUCUGCCUAACUCCAAAGACAGCUCUUUCUACCAUCUAUGACAGAGGAGGUGAAGAUCAAGCCCUGGCCCAGUCACACGGGAGGCACUGUGGAGCUGUGGAGCCCGAAGCAGCAGACAGAGGGGUGAGGAGGGCCUGCGCCCUGUGGCAGGUGGGGGCCUCUAGGUGCCCCCUGCGGUGGGAAAGGCCCUGCCAAGAAGUCCUCGCUCUCCCUCCUGUCUAACAUCAGCCUGCUCCCAACGGCUGGCUCCCAUUCUCCUUCCUCCACAAAGCAAACUCCCAUCCCCAGUCGGGCAGGCCACCUGCUCUCUACACCCCAAGGCCACCUCGGCCUAUGUCGGGGUGAGCUUCCGCCCUCAAUGGGACCUAGAAGGCGCAAGAGAAGAGCAUGAGGUGGCAGCCAUGUGCUGGGGGCCUGGAUCCUGGGACCCAGAUGCUGGGUCAUAUGGGGCAGCUGUGAGGUCUGUACUGGGGUCUCAACCCUGCAUUCUAAGUGGGGUGAGGAGGGAUUUCCUUUAGAAUCCCCUCGGUGUCUCCCAAGGGUGUUUCUCUUGGUUAGUGGCAUCGAGUUUGGCUCCUGGCUCUUUACAGCAGGGUCACUCUGAGCAAGACAGGCUUUUUGCAGCAGAAAUGACUGCUGGCAUCGAACCCUCAAGAGGACAGGACCUGAGACGGGCCAUCCUUACUAUUGGGUUCACAGGCAGCGAGGGCCCAGUGCCCAGCUGGCAUUAGAAGAUGGGAGCUUUCCUUGGCAUGUGGUGGAGAAAGUCACAGGGCUGUGGCCAGUGCUCACCAGGAGUGAAGCCCCAUGAAGCCCUGGGUGUGGCUGGCUGCUUGCCAUGGGGUGAAGCAUGUGCGGGUUGUGGGGCAGCAGGUCCCAGUGUCAGUGGGGGUUUACAGAAGGAAAACCGCAGGCUCAAGGCAUAGAAACAGAACCAGCCAGAGAGCUUGUAGUCAGAGUCUCUGGACUGAUGCAACUUACAACCCGAGCCGAGUCUGGUUUCAACACAGGGCAAACUCACAGCCCCUCCAGGUCUCUGAUUGAAAUGCUAUGGCAUUGUUGGCAACCAGCCGGAGCCUUCGGAUUGUAUCCAGGACUUCGGGAAUGUUCACCUCACUGAUUCCCAACCCCCAAAGCCCACAGAGCUGCCUUUGCAAACGAAAGCAGCCCCUUCUUCCUGUCUGGUGAGCUGGAGACCUUGUGCACAGCGCACCCAUUGCCUUUAGACCUGUCACCCAGCAGGACGCAGGAGCCGGUAAGUACCCACUUUUGGAGACAGGAGGAGUAUGCCUCCCAAAAAGCAAUAUUUGCCAAUGUAUUUUGUCAAAAACUUGGGGAAUAUGUCAGGCACGGUGGCGCACACCUGUAAUCCCAGCACUUUGGGAAGCCAAGGGAGGUGGA